rnacentral:rRNA from 1 species
UGCCAGCAGCCGCGGUAAUACGGAAGGUCCAAGCGUUAAUCGGAAUUACUGGGCGUAAAGCGCGCGUAGGUGGUUUAUUAAGUUGGAUGUUAAAUCCCCGGGCUCAACCUGGGAACUGCAUCCAAAACUGAUUCACUAGAGUACGAUAGAGGGAGGUAGAAUUCACAGUGUAGCGGUGGAAUGCGUAGAUAUUGUGAAGAAUACCAAUGGCGAAGGCAGCCUCAUGGAUCUGUAAUGAAACUGAGGUGAGAACGCGUGGGUCGCGAACAGGAUUAGAUC